CAGUUUGCAAGGAACAAAAUCUCUGUGAGAAACCAGUUGAUUCAUCACUGGUAGUGCUGCUUUCCUCUUCUGCAAAUUAAAUCUGGAUCUGCUCUCAAAAGGGAUGUGCACCUUUCAAGAGAAAGGAUGGAAGUUGGCUUGCCUGGUCAAGGAAAUGCAGAGAAGAGUUGUUUUUUGUCCAGAGUGAUUACAGUUUUCCAAUUAUUUUCAUGAUUGUGUAAAGGUAAAAGUGCUAACUGCACAUGCAUUUCUUAAUAUUUCAUUUUCGAAAGCAUGUUUAAUCAAGUUUUAUGAAUUACCAUUUUCUGGCUGUGGAACAUGUUCAUAUAUGUUAGAUUAAUGUCACCGUUCCAGGGCUGGCAUUAAUCAAAAUAAGAAAUCUUUCAUAACAUGCUAAUGUAUUGCUUAAUUUUAUUGUGAAAUGUUGUUUACAGACCAGCAGAACACACUAAUGGAUUUUUGCAUCCCUACACAAGAAAUUAUCACAUUGACAAUGUAAUGAAUUGUUUUAAACUUAAGUACUGUUGCCCCAUCAUAAUUUGGUGGGAGUUGUGGGUUAUUGAAGUAUUAAUUUGACUUAGUUUAAUUUGGACAGAAGACAUUUUAUUAGUUAUUGUUCCCAUAAUAAAUCAUCUGUGUGAUAAUCCUGUAUGCUGCAGAAAAUGAGCACAAGUCAUUUAUCUCAUUUGGAUGGCCACAUUUAUGAUCCAUUUCUGGAAAGUAAAAUGGCAGCUACGCCAAAAUAAAGUAAAAUGAGGAACAG
rnacentral:lncRNA from 7 species